UAGAGUGGGCGGGUUUCUCGCGGAAUGCCCAGGAGGGGGCGUGGCCACGCAUGCGCCUUCAAGAGGCUGCCUCAAUGUGUGCUGCCUGACUUAGCACGUGGGAUUUGAGACUUGGGCCUCUUAUCUCAAAGGUUCUGAAUGUCCUUCUGUCCCUGUCGGGUUUCGGCCUCAGUCUUGAGUGCCAGAGGAAAAGUAAUAAAAAUAAAGCCCUUAUUCUUGACGCGUUGUUCCCGGGAGGAAAGCCACCUGCAGGAGGAGUCCUGUCCAGGAGACGUGUUUUGUGAACACACCCUGGGCAGUCCAGUCUGGGUGAUGUGAUGGAUCUUGACUCUCCUUGAAAGCUGUGAUCUGUUGCUGACAUAAGGGAAAGGAACAGUUGCCCGAAGGUAACUUUCAGGGCGGCCCUUAGGCCUGUUUCCACUCACUGACCGACCUUCAGUUCUGGCUGAGUCUAUCAGAUCUCCAUUUAAUGAACUCAAGCCUCCAAAUGGAUAGCAAAUAGCCCAGGUUGCCCUCCAACUUGCUACGUAGCUGAGAUGCCUCCAAACUCCUGAUGCUCUUGCCUCGCCCAUAUGCUGCCACAUGCAGCCCUUCCUAAGGCCUGUGAUGCACUGUCUGCGGAAACUGGCCUGAAGCUUCAGAGACUGGAUCUGCUCUCCUCCAAUGACAUCAUCAUUUUCCCACCAGCCAAGUAUGUAAGAGAAAAACACACAGCUAAUUUUUUUUUUUUGAACACAAAAUCGUGAAGACAGUGGCCCAUCUCCCGUUUUUGGUUUUUGCUCACCAGCUAAUCUGCAGGGACCUUGCCAUGAUAAACAAUGUGUUGAAUUUCCUGUUUGGGUCAGUUUGUAUUUAAAAUGGGACUAAUGAAGUCCAGAGAGAAAGCGAACUGACUAUUCACUCCAAUGUGAUUCUCUUUCCUUGGCUUCUCCUUGCCUGUGGUCUUGAACUGUACCCCUCUCUCUCUCUCCCUUCUUAACCUCCUGAGUGUAAAGUGCCUAAUUAGAGGGGAGUCUGAACUCACCUUCGUUCUCUUUGGAGGAGUCGUGUAAUUAAAAAGUUGAGAAUCUGCUCGGAUGUUUGGGGAGCAUGGAUUAUACUGAACAAUCCACCCUUAAAAAUUAAAUAGAAUGUUAUAAUCAUAAA